GAAAGAUGGAAGCUUUGACUCUCCUUCUGUGUCUGCUUUCAACUGCCUUUCAGGCUAAAAUAAUUGAUUCACAGACAACAGAUGGCUGGCUAUAUUCCACUGAAGGUACUUCAGAACCAUGUGGUGGCUAUAUGACAGAUGCAAUGGGUGAAUUGUUCAGUCCCCGGUACCCUAAUAACUACCCUAAUAAUGCACAAUGUAUAUGGACCAUCCAUAGCACAGGGAACACAACCGUCUCACUGACAAUCACUGAUUUAGAUUUGGAAAGAUGCUGUGAUUACAUCAGAGUUUAUGAUGGUCCUUCUACUCUCCAUCCCUUACUAGGAGAAAUAAAGGAGUACAUGAACCAGACUUUUAAUUCCACCUACAGUGAUCUGACUGUGUUUUUCUACAGUGACAGCAGUGUCACAAGUAGAGGAUUUCAUGCAAACUGGGUAUUUGUAGGUAAGCAAUUAAAUAUAUAUAAUAAUAAAUAAAUUAUUUAUAAUUUA